UACGUAGGGUGCAAGCGUUGUCCGGAAUUAUUGGGCGUAAAGAGCGUGUAGGCGGCCAGGUAGGUCCGUUGUGAAAACUCGAGGCUCAACCUCGGACUUGCGGUGGGUACGGGCAGACUAGAGUGUGGUAGGGGAGACUGGAAUUCCUGGUGUAGCGGUGAAAUGCGCAGAUAUCAGGAGGAACACCGAUGGCGAAGGCGGCUUCUUGGGCCGUUUCUGACGCUGAGGCGCGAAAGCCAGGGGAGCGAACGGG
rnacentral:rRNA from 1 species